ACACUCUUGUUUCUCUUCAGAUCAUAUAAAUCUUUUACUAAAGAUUUCUGUGGAGAGGAACAAUAACAGUUUUACCCAAUUUUUUGAUGCCCUGCUUCACUGUGGGGCU
ensembl:snRNA U5 U5 spliceosomal RNA